CCUGGUGUCUGAAAAUCUCUCAUAUUGGCAUUUCUGAACUUACAAUACACACAAGGUAAAUAAACUCAUAGGCAGAGUCAAUAUUGCCUUGGAAGGAGGUUUCUUUAAUGAAUCCUUGUGCUCUGGUGUUUUUUUUUCUACCUUCAAGCAACUACUGGUAUAAAUAUUCAAGGCACAACAUACAAACAAAGAUCCUGGAACUGAGAAUAUUUUUCUCGCACACAAUUCCUCCUAACACUGUGUCCUAAAAUAUACGUCCUUGAAAAUCAUUACUUAAACGAUUAUCUCAUGGUCACUAGAAACAUCACGUCAGUUGCCCCUAUCUUGUAAACAUCCUCUCUCUUUAUACUUAAUCAUGAUGAUCAAAAAAAGAUGUUGUCUGGAGCUUGCUUUGCAAAAUAACGUGCUGCGGUUUGGAUUAUCCACGUUUGUGCUGUCGAGGAUUCUGAUUUAAUCUCUCCAUCUUUCGGCACAUGCCUGAACACUUGUUCGCUUUUGUUACACAAGCUUCCACCUUUGAAAUUGCAAAGGCUUCUAAGAAACGUGCCUAAUUCCCACAACAUUUUGCAGGAGCCGAUCCAGACGAUUUAUGGGAUUGUGGUAUAUUGGUAGUGAUGGGUGUUCAUUGUCUUAGCAAUGAAUGCAGCUAUUUCCAAAGAUGAAUAUUUCAUUUAGCUCCAACUUUAAUUCUUCUCAGUGAACGUCGCACUUAACAAGUUCAUUCCCCUCCUGGAGUCAUUAAGAUAACAUGUGACAUGAUUGGAUACAGAGUAUAUAUAUUUACAUUCCUAGCUACAUUCUUGGUGAUUCAAUUGGUGACAGCUGAGUUAGAUAGUCUGGAGUUUUAAUUUCAACCCGGAAGUCAGUACAGAUAACCCCUGUUAUAUCGGACUGUGGUGGAGUGGAGAACAGUGUCCGUUAUUGCCUGCUGUAACUAAGUAAGGUUAAAUAUGUAUAGUAUCGGAAAGACAGCCAAUAAACAGGCAGCACGGUGGAGCGGUGCACCAAGUUUAGAAGGCCGUGGUUUGAAGUCCCAUUUGGAAUGAACUGAACACAACAUCUAGACAAAGCCAAAGAUCACGUCUAUUUCAAGCUGUGAAUGGUAUGUCAUUGUAAGAAAGAGUUUCUCGGGCAGCAUCUUUUAUGAUACGUGAAUCACUUCUGCAUUGAAAUGACAACCGAGACUUCGAGCUGGUUGGUAUGAAACUACAAUAUUCUGAUUCGCAGAUGAAAAGAUUUACACAAAAUCACAACUGCCACCUUUAGGAAGCAUAAAUGAAGCCAGAAGUACUAGUUUCCCUUAAUUACUUUGGAGUUCAGAGCAUGCAGUUUACCGAACUUUGUAAAGCUAGUAAAUUGAAACUUCAACAUAUUGUUCUCACAUUAUAAUGUACAGUACAUUAUUCAUUCCUGCCAAACUAUAUUCGAUACAUGUGGCUCCAUCUCCAGAAGUGAGUUCUCUUCACAGCAGAUGCAGCAGUAAGUCAAAUCCUCAGAAGCCUGGGAUUUUUUUUCUUAAUAAAUCUGUAGAGGUGGACCCGUCACCCAAAGUUUAUUUAUUGCCCAGUCUUUACAAAUAGUUUUGUAAGUUAAGAUAGUGAGACUGAGCUGGGCAUGCAUUGUGGAGUUUGCUCUUGCUCUCUUCUGCCAAGUUGCACAACUUCAUUGAUUUGUUUAGUUUCAGUUUAGAGGUACAGGGUGGCAACAGGCCCAUCGGCACACCGAGUCCACACUGGCCAGCGAUCUCCACUCAUUAACACUGCCCAACACGCACUAGGGACAAUUUUACAUUUACACCAAGCCAAUUAACCUACAAACCUGUACCUCUUUGGAGUGUGGGAGGAAACCCAUGCAGGUCAUGGGGUGAACGUACAAAUUUUGUACAGACACGCACCCGUCGUCAGGAUCAAAACUGGGUCCCUGGCGCUGUAAGGUCGUAGCUCUACUUCUGCAUCACUGUGCCGCCCUGAAGAAGUCUGAAGAAGGGUCCUCACCCGAAACGUCAACCAUAAUUUUCUCCAGAGAUGCUGCCUGACCCACAAAGUUACUCCAGCACUCUGUGUCUAUCUUCGGCAUAUUCCAGCAUCUGCAAUUCCUUUCUCCACAUUCAUUGAUUUGUCAUUUGGAAAUAGCCCUCUCCUCAUUCAGAAACCAUUCAGAUUUGGACGUGUGAUCUUUUCAUUUAUUUCUUCAUUUCCACAUCUGAAGAUCGCUGGCAAGGCCAGUAUUUAUUUCUCUGAAGAAGGGUCUGAAGAAGUGUUUCGGCCCGAAACGUUGCCUAUUUCCUUCGCUUCAUAGAUGCUGCUGCACCCGUUGAGUUUCUCCAGCAUUUUUGUGUACCUUCGAUUUUCCAGCAUCUGCAGUUCCUUCUUAAACAGUAUUUAUUUCAGUUUAGAAGAUAGUGGGGACAAUCUAUGCCAAAGCUGCCCACAUUUGAGUAAACAUGAAGAAGGGUCCGGACCCGAAACGUCACCCUUCCUUUUUCAUCAGAGAUGCUGCCUAAUCCCCUGAGUUACUCCAGCAGUUUGUGUCUAUUUUGUGCAAAUGGGACUUUGCUGCUUUGCUGAGCACAUAUGUCAGAUAGGAUGCCGAUUAAAGAAAAAUAAUUCAAAUGGGUUUUGUGUAUCAUUAUGUGGUUGACCAGUUCACACAUUCAGUAAGAAAAUUGAAUUGCAUUGAAGUAUACUUCAUAAGUUCAUGUUCAUGUCAUAGAAGCAGAAUUAGACCAUUCAGCCCAUCAAGUCCACUCUGCCAUUCAAUCAUGGCUGAUCUAUCUCUCCCACUUAACCCCAUUCUCCUGUCUUCUUCCCAUAACCCCUGACACCCGUACUAACCACGUGUGCACCUAUUCUGUUUUCUGAUAUUUUUCUCUUUGGACUGCCUGUUGUACUUGUGUAUUGGCUUGACAGGAUAGCACACAAAACAAAGUUCUCCACUGUGUUUAG